UGAAUGUGUGGCAGCCUUUGGGAGUCUGUGCUGAUUCUAAAGGACCGGCCAUGCUGGGGUUUUACUUUUUCUUGUCCCAUGGGUAAAGAGGGAGAAUAUAAAGUUGCCAUUUGGAAGCUACUGGUGUAUGCAGUGAGAGGCAUACUUUCACACUGAGCUGUGAGGAGUUGGGAAGUAAAACCGAAUAAGGCUUGCCUGCUGCUGAAGCCUGGCAUUAGCAGGGGACAGGAGUGUGCUUGAACUUCAGAGAGUGAACAUCUUGGGAAGGCCUGAUGUAUGGAGGUAGCUCCAGUUUUGGAAUGCUGGGUGAUGGAGCAGAGCUGGCUCUGUAUCUAUCUCCUUGCCUGCCCUGUGCUGGUGGUUCUCAGAAUGAAUCUUGUGCCUCUGUCACUUUUGCAUAUCUAGGUGAACUCUGUUUCUUAUUCUGGUCCUAAGGACUUCCCACUGUAUUCCAAUUCUAAGCGGGGUCAUGUUUUCCGAGCUGUUGUUUACUUAUUUUUAGUUGGACCCACAAUUCUGCAAGGAUUAUAAGGCACACGGAGGACCCUUCAUUGCUGGUCUUUACCCUGAUGGAGCUAUGUGUACCACCUCCCACCGAAGUCAAUUGCUUUGGCCAGUAGAAUGAUGGCACAAGGUCACUUCUGAGAAGUUCACGACCAUCCUAAGUACAUGUUCCCGAUUGAAGCAGGCUGCUUCUUCAGCCUGGACUCCAACAAUGAAGGGUAACCUUGAAGAACUUUCUUUGUGUUCUUGUUGCAUGCUCUCUUCUUGGAAUGAAAGCAAAGAGACACACCAUGAUGUUGCCAGAAAUUAUUGAAGAAUCCCAAUUAGAUCUAAGUGACUGAUGGUUUCUCUGCCUAGUACUCAGGAUGAUUUGACAUAUAUGUAUCAGUACUCAAGAGCUAUCCCUUCAUCCAAAAGGACAGACUGUCAAGUGAAAUGGGAGCAGGCCCGCUGGAAUCGGGGAGCCGAGGUCUGCGGCAGCUCUUCACGUUCCACGUGGUAAUAGCCGGUGACAGCUUCUACUCUGAACAAAUUGUUUUCCGUUGGUUGAUGGGUCUCAGCUGUUCUAACCUGGGAAGUGAUGAGUUUUGCCUUCAUUUGGAAAGAAGCUUUCUCAGAGUACCACAACUCAGAGAUCUCUCAUCUGAGUUCCUGAUGAAAAUUGACAGAGCUGCCUACAAUUGACCAAUUUCCAAGCCCUGGGGUCACUUCUCCAACAGUCUUACGCAUCAACACCAGAGAUGAGAAUCCAAGGAAAUAAAAUUCUCUUCCAUAGUCAUAAUGGAGGAAAGAGUGAGACCCAUGAAUUGAAAUCUGUACUUUAUGCAAAGGAAAAA